rnacentral:rRNA from 1 species
UACCAGCACCCCGAGUGGUCGGGACGAUUAUUGGGCCUAAAGCAUCCGUAGCCGGUUCUGCAAGUCUUCCGUUAAAUCCAGCCGCUCAACGGAUGGGCCGCGGAGGAUACUAUAGGACUAGGAGGCGGGAGAGGCAAGCGGUACUCAGUGGGUAGGGGUAAAAUCCUUUGAUCCAUUGAAGACCACCAGUGGCGAAGGCGGCUUGCCAGAACGCACUCGACGGUGAGGGAUGAAAGCUGGGGGAGCAAACCGG